rnacentral:misc_RNA from 1 species
GAUGAAGAACGCAGCGAAAUGCGAUAAGUAAUGUGAAUUGCAGAAUUCAGUGAACCAUCGAAUCUUUGAACGCACAUUGCGCCCGCCAGUAUUCUGGCGGGCAUGCCUGUCCGAGCGUCAUCUCAACCCUCGAGCCCCCCCGGGGGCUCGGCGUUGGGGACCGGCCCCGCCCCAGGGCGCGCCGCCCCCCAAAUCCAGUGGCGGUCCCGCCGCAGCCUCCCCUGCGCAGUAGCUUGCGCACUCGCACCGGAGAGCGGCGCGGCCACGCCGUAAAACCCCCCGACCACGGAGCCCCGGCUCCUGAACGUUGACCUCGGAUCAGGUAGGAAUACCCGCUGAACUUAAGCAUAUCAAUAAGCGGAGGA